UCUCCGUAGGUGAACCUGCGGAGGGAUCAUUACCGAGUGAAGGGUCCUCCGGGCCCGACCUCCAACCCCUUUGUAUACCGACCUCUGUUGCUUCGGGGCGACGGCCCUGGGUUCGCCCUGGCCCGCCCCGGAGGUGACCACACACUCUGCGUCUCUUGCGUCUGAGUCUGAUUUACAAUCGAAAUCAAAACUUUCAACAACGGAUCUCUUGGUUCUGGCAUCGAUGAAGAACGCAGC
rnacentral:misc_RNA from 1 species